rnacentral:rRNA from 1 species
GACGAACGCUGGCGGCGUGCCUAAUACAUGCAAGUAGAACGCUGAAGAGAGGAGCUUGCUCUUCUUGGAUGAGUUGCGAACGGGUGAGUAACGCGUAGGUAACCUGCCUUGUAGCGGGGGAUAACUAUUGGAAACGAUAGCUAAUACCGCAUAACAAUGGAUGACACAUGUCAUUUAUUUGAAAGGGGCAAUUGCUCCACUACAAGAUGGACCUGCGUUGUAUUAGCUAGUAGGUGAGGUAAUGGCUCACCUAGGCGACGAUACAUAGCCGACCUGAGAGGGUGAUCGGCCACACUGGGACUGAGACACGGCCCAGACUCCUACGGGAGGCAGCAGUAGGGAAUCUUCGGCAAUGGGGGCAACCCUGACCGAGCAACGCCGCGUGAGUGAAGAAGGUUUUCGGAUCGUAAAGCUCUGUUGUAAGUCAAGAACGGGUGUGAGAGUGGAAAGUUCACACUGUGACGGUAGCUUACCAGAAAGGGACGGCUAACUACGG